UUCAGAAUGAGUCAAACUGAAGGCUCAUAAAUGAAUGGAGCAGCAAACACUUCAUCUGAGACCUUUUGAUUUCUGUCUAUCAAUGACUUAGCAGUUUGUAUGAACGUGACUUUGUUGUGAGCAAGCAGUUGCAGCCAAAGGUAUUAGUUCCCCCUGCAUCCUCUGACUAUGAUCAGACUGGUGAUUUUGUGUUCGUGAGAUCUGUGACCUGGCUGUUUUGAGAAUCUGUGUGACAUGAGGUCAAUAAUGAAUGACUGAAGAGUAAGUGAACAGGCCUACUAAACAAAUAUUCAAAUUAAAACACAACUAGAUUAAAAAUCCUUACACCUGCGAUCCUCUAUAUAUGCAAAUGAUUCAGUAGGGAGGAUCAGAGUCACUCAGACACUCACAGGACUGUGUUAUAAACUGAAUCCUCAGUCAGUGUUUAUGUUCUGCUGCAGUGUAGAUAAAUAUCUUCUUAUUCUCUUCAUUUGACAGUUUUAUGGUGAUAAUGGAAAUGUUACUUUAUGGAGUUCUCCUGAUGAUUAUUUCAAGUGUUAGUGGUCAGUCUUUGACCUCCUCAGAUUCUGUGGUGAAAAGACCAGGAGAAUCAGUCACUCUGUCCUGCAGUGCAUCUGGAAUCUCAAUGAGCAGAUACUGGAUGCACUGGAUCCGUCAGAAACCAGGGAGAGGACUGGAGUGGAUCGGUCAUAUUGACGGUGGCACUGGCACUGGUUUUGCUCAGUCUCUACAAGGCCAGCUCUCCAUCACAAAAGACACCAGCAAAAACAUGCUGUAUUUAGAGGUGAAAAGCCUGAAGACUGAAGACACAGCUGUUUAUUACUGUGCAAGAGAUUCACAGUUACACAAAAAACUGCAGGGCUGAACAAAAACUAUUC